UACGUAGGUGGCAAGCGUUGUCCGGAAUUAUUGGGCGUAAAGCGCGCGCAGGCGGCUUCUUAAGUCUGAUGUGAAAUCUCGGGCUCAACCCCGAGCGGCCAUUGGAAACUGGGAGCUUGAGUACAGAAGAGGAGAGUGGAAUUCCACGUGUAGCGGUGAAAUGCAUAGAUAUGAUGGAGGAACACCAGUGGCGAAGGCGACUCUCUGGUCUGUAACUGACGUGAGGCGCGAAAGCGUGGGAGCAAACAGG
rnacentral:rRNA from 1 species